ACCCUCUCCCCCCCCUCUCUCCCUCACAUGCUGCUGCCCUCUACCCUCUCUCUCCCACGCUUGGUGCUGUCCUCUCCUACGUCUGAGUCACAGACGCCCUUGCCCGCGGCCUAUAGCUGGCCACAAGGGUAUAUAGCAGCGCCCGCAGCCCGUCUCCAACAUUACGACUACGACCAGGGAGGCAGUCCAGGCUCACAGUCAAUUAUUUGCGAUGCGCAGCUUUACAAGUGUGAUGUUAGUGAUGUUACUGACGGCGUCGCUGAUGUUGAUAUGGAGCAAUGUCGGCCACACCCAGUCCUUAGGGCAUCGCACUGGGAAGUAUCGCGGUCCUGAUCAUCGCCGCGACAGACAUCGCGAAAUCAGAGCCAUUCAGAACGACUCUAACAAAGGAGACAGUCGGCUAAUACCUCUAAUUUUCAUCGCUAUAGAAAAGCGCUGAUUCUGAAGCUAGUGACUGAGGCUGCCUAGCAGUCUGCACAUGAGACGAGGCUUCAACUUGUCUAACGUGAUCAUCUUGUUCCACGGCGAUUUAUUGUAUUAUAUUCAUUGUAUUAUUCAUUGUAUUAUUCAUUGUUAUUAUUUUAGUUUUGUGUAAAGUUAGACCUAGGGAAGGUUAGGCUAGGUGUUUUGAUUUCCCUGGCCAUUAUUUGUACUCACAGCAGGUGGGUAAAGCCUUUAGAGAGCUGUUAUUUUUCGAAAUGUAUAGAGUAAGUAAAAGUGUGUUUGAGAAAAGUUUGAAUAAGCUGUAAGACGUGAGUAUAAAACUUUAUAUUCAUAGUCAGAGGGCGGCUGACUAUGAUUGAAUCCGCCGGAUUCAAUAAUCCGGCGGAUUCAAUAAUCCGGCAUGUGCUGGAUUAUUGAGAAGUUGGCCAAUGUUGUUGGCCAAUCUUCAUUUGGUUGAUGAUGGGUUGAAUCUGGUUGUUAAUGUGCAGAAUUCACCCACUUAGGAGGGUAGAAAUAGCCUAAGCUACUCUAUCCCUUUGAGAUGUAUUUUUUUCUUGUCUCAAUAAACAUACUGGAACUUCAUCCACUAAGAAGAGAGACUUCACCCGUACAUGGAGCCGCUGAAGGCUUACUCUCAAAUCUGUGUCCUGAAGACCCUUGUUACCCAAUAUAGUCUUAAUAUAAGCUUGGUGUCAAAUUUUAAUGUGUAUAUAUGUAUACAACUUUUUUCAUAUAAAUAUAUAUUUUAGUACAAAAGUGAAA